rnacentral:rRNA from 1 species
GAUGAACGCUGGCGGCGUGCCUAAUACAUGCAAGUCGAGCGAAUGGAUUAAGAGCUUGCUCUUAUGAAGUUAGCGGCGGACGGGUGAGUAACACGUGGGUAACCUGCCCAUAAGACUGGGAUAACUCCGGGAAACCGGGGCUAAUACCGGAUAACAUUUUGAACCGCAUGGUUCGAAAUUGAAAGGCGGCUUCGGCUGUCACUUAUGGAUGGACCCGCGUCGCAUUAGCUAGUUGGUGAGGUAACGGCUCACCAAGGCAACGAUGCGUAGCCGACCUGAGAGGGUGAUCGGCCACACUGGGACUGAGACACGGCCCAGACUCCUACGGGAGGCAGCAGUAGGGAAUCUUCCGCAAUGGACGAAAGUCUGACGGAGCAACGCCGCGUGAGUGAUGAAGGCCUUAGGGUUGUAAAACUCUGUUGUUAGGGAAGAACAAGUGCUAGUUGAAUAAGCUGGCACCUCGACGGUACCUAACCAGAAAGCCACGGCUAACUACGUGCCAGCCGCCGCAGUAA